AACAUUUCUUAAUGGCAUCCAUUAUAUUAAGUAAAGCCUGCUCAAUGUAAUAUAAAUAGCCGCAGAAAUUUAACUGUGCUAAGGUAGCAUAAUCAUUAGCCUUUUAAUUUAAGACUAGCAUGAAAGGCUAAACAUUUCCCUUCCUAUUUUAAAUAUAUUUAUAAAAAUUUUACUAAAUAUAAAAAUAUAUUUAUAAAUAAAUUAGACGACAAGACCCUGUCAAACUUAACUUAUGUUUAGCUGGGGCAGCUAAUUAAUAAUAAUUUUAACUAUACCCGCUUAAAAAUCCAAUAUUAAUGAUAAAAAGUUACUGCAGGGAUAACAGCGUAAUAAAUUUUUCAAGCUCUUAUUUAAAAAUUUGAUUACGACCUCGAUGUUGAAAUUAAAUAACUUUUAAGACGCAAAAGUCAAUAUAAGGGGGUCUGUUCGACCCUUAAAUUUUUACAUGAU
rnacentral:rRNA from 1 species